rnacentral:lncRNA from 1 species
GGGGGGGCCCACCUGUCGGUGGCUCCGUGCGGGUACGCGCUGCGGGCCGGCUCGAUCCGUCGAGCGGCCGGUCAGGACUGGGCCGGUUCGGCCCAUUUGGCGAGGCCGGUCCGGUUUUCCCCUUUUUUUUCUUUUCCUUUUUCCUUUUUCUGAUUUCUUUGAUAUCUUUUGAUUUUGAACUCCAAAUUGAUCCAAAUAAAUUCUCCUACCCUAGAGCACAUUGAGUACAUACAUCAAGUUCUCCUACCCUGUUCAAACCAUUCAUUUUAUUUAUGAAAUUGGAAUGAGUGAGACUUUCCUUACAGCCCCCAAAUCUAGUUGCUCAAAUUGUCCGUAACCGGGGACACGACUAAGUACUUAGUUUGACACUUUCGAGACUCUCGAGAGGUUGUACACAUUCCCCACAAGAAAUCGACGUGUUAAUCCCUUGCUGUCCUCAGGGUAGAGUAGUAACAACAUCGAUUACAGGAAUUUUAAGACCAUAAUCACCCAGACCACCUGAGAGACCUACGUUCCCACCUACACGGCUACAUCUGCAUAAUCCCUCGGAUCCAGGAUCAUAUGUCUUACAUCCAUCCUGGCAGAGCCCAUAUAUAUUACCA